rnacentral:lncRNA from 1 species
CAUAACAAACCAAUAACGAAACUGAAGCAACAUGAAUAGAAUAAAUUUUACUGCUGCAAGUAGAGACAUACAUAUAUAACUCGUAUACUUGAUCAUGCCUCGUUACUAUUGAUCGAAUGUUCUAUUUUCUCUAAAGAAAUUUGUUCAUGGAGAUUUCCUACACUCAAGCUGGGACUCAACUGUUAGCUGAUCAGAAACAAUCUGGCAGAGAUAACCCUGCAUCUAGAGUCCUGAUAUGAACCUAACUUAGAGGGCUAUGUUUAUUAGAUAAUCAAAAUACCUGGUCUAAGGAAAACUAAUCAGAAAGAUAUAAACAGAAUCACGUGAAAGUCUAUCAUGUCCCCUUUGGGGUAAAAGUCAACAACAUCAGCUUGGAUGGGUGAAUGGGUGAUGACGGCAGCGCUCGCGGGACGGCCCUUCGUCCUGUCAGCUUGAGUUAUACAAUCUUCAUUUUCUUGUCACUUUGAACGAAUAAUAAAUUGACCUAGCAUAUGGAAAAAAUAAAGCAAAUUAAGAAAAAUCAACCGUAUUUUUUAUGUAAAAAGGGGAGUUUAACAUAAGGAUACAUAUGUAGCAUGCUCUUGGUAGCCCUUGCAGGAGUAGAAAAAGGUCAUUAUCCACAUGUAUAGUAGCCAAAUGAAUAACUUACCAGAACUUGGCAAAAUUCUACAUUUAGUAUGCAGCACUCCUGGUUGCAUUUUGCUAGUAGAAAUAUAUAAAUAUUUUGAGGAUCUUGAAGAUAAAUUAAAGAAAUACAAAUAGAGAAAUUAUGUACACAUGUUUAAAAACAGGUGAUCCCCUCGUUAACAAAACAAUGGGUUUGUUGUAACAGAAUACAUCGGUAAUUUUCUGCAUCCUGAAAAAGCAGCAUGUAUCACUACGGGUAAAGUAUGUGCCACCCCAUGAACACCCUUGCUGGUCAUGUAUCAUCCGUACAUGCAUGUCCUUGCAUCCAUUGCUUCCACCAAAGUAGAUUUUUUUUUAGAAGAUCCACCAAAGUAGAUGUGCUGGUGGACUUGAUCAGGGUCGUUGUCUGCAAUCUAGGCCUUCUUCCAGCACAGGUUUCUCGGAUUGAACUCAACUCGUGAGGGAGAAUAAGAUUGAGGAUUCUACACAUAAAGGUAUAGAAGAUGUGGAAUUAGAUUGAGAUUAACCAUUAUCGACUUAAGGAAAGAAAUCUACAACAUAAGAGAUGAGGAAUUAGAUGCAGAUCAAGUGUUACCGUGCUAGAGAAGGAAGGCUACAGAAAUUUGCAUGUCCUUGCAUCCAUGGCAUCCACAAAAUUAGAUGUGUUGGUGGACUGGAUUAGGGCCGUCGUCUGCGAUCUUCUCCUCCUUCCAGCAAAGGUUUCAUGGAUGGAACCCAAGCCGCGACGGUGAGGAAGAUUAAAUAUUCUGGACAGAAAAGUGUAGAAGAAGGGGAAUUACAUGGAUAUUAGCCAUUAUCGUGCUAGCGAACGAAAGCUACAGCAUAAUAGAUGGAGAUUAGAUGGAGAUCUAAUGUUGCCGUGCUAGAGAAGGAAAGCUAUAGAAAAUUUGGCAAGUUUAGCGUGGGAGACGAGAUAUUAAUGGAGAUUACAUGACAUCUCCUCUUUUUUUAUAGAAUGACAUCUCCUGUUUAUUGUAUCAGGAUUAAAGGAGAAGAAAAUUAUGUGAUGAUAUUUCUUGUUUUAGGACAUGAGAUAUCUUUUUU